AUUGAACGCUGGCGGCAGGCCUAACACAUGCAAGUCGAACGAGUGGCGGACGGGUGAGUAAUGUCUGGGAAACUGCCCGAUGGAGGGGGAUAACCACUGGAAACGGUAGCUAAUACCGCAUACCAUCGGAUGUGCCCCGAUGGGAUUAGCUAGUGGGUGGGGUAACGGCUAACCUAGGCGACGAUCCCUAGCUGGUCUGAGAGGAUGACCAGCCACACUGGAACUGAGACACGGUCCAGACUCCUACGGGAGGCAGCAGUGGGGAAUAUUGCACAAUGGGCGCAAGCCUGAUGCAGCCAGGCCGCGUGUGUGAAGAAGGCCUUCGGGUUGUAAAGUACUUUCAGCGAGGAGGCGUUACUCGCAGAAGAAGCACCGGCUAACUCCGUGCCAGCCGCCGCGGUAAUAC
rnacentral:rRNA from 1 species